AGUGAACGCUGGCGGUAGGCCUAACACAUGCAAGUCGAACGGCAGCACAGGAGAGCUUGCUCUCUGGGUGGCGAGUGGCGGACGGGUGAGGAAUACAUCGGAAUCUACCUUUUCGUGGGGGAUAACGUAGGGAAACUUACGCUACUACCGCAUACGACCUACGGGUGAAAGUGGGGGACCGCAAGGCCUCACGCGAUUAG
rnacentral:rRNA from 1 species